rnacentral:rRNA from 1 species
UACGUAGGGUGCAAGCGUUAAUCGGAAUACUGGGCGUAAAGCGUGCGCAGGCGGUGAUGUAAGACAGUUGUGAAAUCCCCGGGCUCAACCUGGGAACUGCAUCUGUGACUGCAUCGCUGGAGUACGGUAGAGGGGGAUGGAAUUCCGCGUGUAGCAGUGAAAUGCGUAGAUAUGCGGAGGAACACCGAUGGCGAAGGCAAUCCCCUGGACCUGUACUGACGCUCAUGCACGAAAGCGUGGG